GAACCCAAAUAUCUAAACGGAGAAAUUCAAUGUUACUUUUAAAGAGUCGCAUGCACUUUUCUCUUAGUAAGACGCCGUGAUCCAUUAGAAAUUUAUGUGUCAAUAUGAGCAUAUAGUUUGGUCAUCAAUGGGGACAGCAUAAAGUUCAUUGAAAUAAGUAUCUUAGUCUUUCAACGGCAAGGAAUGUUAUUCGGUGAGUUUGUUGUCAUCCGUAUGACUGUCUGAUGGAUUUUAGAGAUGAUAUUAUCAGUGCAUUCGCACUGCUCGUCCUGUACGAGAAUAUGAAUAUCUAUCCGAUCAACGGCGGUUUUAUUUUGGGAUACCUUUAUUACCCGUCUCGAAACACGGAUCAAGGAGUCUAUCUAGUCUGCGAGUAAAUGGGUUAAUUUAUUAUUAACUAAACCUAUUUGCAGAAUAAACUUAACUUUAUUUUAUGGGAUUACGAGUCUUUUAUACGAAUGUAUAUGGCUCUUCCAUUCCGGGGUAUUUUCAUCAACAUAUGUGCGCAAGUAUAUAUGGAAAAUAUACCAUUAGCAAACUGGAUACGACCCGAAAGAUGGUGAACUAUGCCUGAUCAGGUUGAAGUCAGGGGAAACCCUGAUGGAGGACCGAAGCAGUUCUGACGUGCAAAUCG
rnacentral:rRNA from 1 species